AGUAGUUUGAUCAGUGGCUCGAGGACGACGCUGGCGGCGUGCUUAACACAUGCAAGUCGAACGAGACGAUUGAAAGCUUGCUUUUGAGAGUCGAGUGGCAAACGGGUGAGUAACGCGUAGACAACCUGCCGCAAAGAUGGGGACAACAUCCCGAAAGGGGUGCUAAUACCGAAUGUUGUCAGUUUUCCGCAUGGGAGAUUGAUUAAAGAUGGCCUCUACUUGUAAGCUAUCGCUUUGCGAUGGGUCUGCGUCUGAUUAGCUAGUUGGUGGGGUAACGGCCUACCAAGGCGACGAUCAGUAGCCGGUCUGAGAGGAUGAACGGCCACAUUGGGACUGAGACACGGCCCAGACUCC
rnacentral:rRNA from 1 species